AGGUGAGUGGUUUUUUCUAUCUAACUUUGAUAUUUUCUUUACUAUAUUUUGCUAUAAAAAAGAUUAAUUUUGAAGAAGAAAGCUAGAUUUUUAUUAUUCUACAAGUUAUAUAUAUAUGCAAGCAUGAAAACAAAAAGUGAUUCCUAUUUGAAAUAUUGUUCAAGUGUAUGCAUGUGUAUGUAUAACUGAUUUGAACAGCAUACAUUUUUAGUGUG
rnacentral:lncRNA from 1 species